rnacentral:rRNA from 1 species
AAAACUUUCAACAACGGAUCUCUUGGUUCUGGCAUCGAUGAAGAACGCAGCAAAAUGCGAUAAGUAAUGUGAAUUGCAGAAUUCAGUGAAUCAUCGAAUCUUUGAACGCACAUUGCGCCCGCCAGUAUUCUGGCGGGCAUGCCUGUUCGAGCGUCAUUUCAACCCUCAAGCACAGCUUGGUGUUGGGACUCGCGUUAAUUCGCGUUCCUCAAAUUGAUUGGCGGUCACGUCGAGCUUCCAUAGCGUAGUAGUAAAACCCUCGUUACUGGUAAUCGUCGCGGCCACGCCGUUAAACCCCAACUUCUGAAUGUUGACCUCGGAUCAGGUAGGAAUACCCGCUGAACUUAGGCAUAUCAAUAAGCGGAGGAAAAGAAACCAACAGGGAUUGCCCUAGUAACGGCGAGUGAAGCGGCAACAGCUCAAAUUUGAAAUCUGGCUCUCGGGCCCGAGUUGUAAUUUGUAGAGGAUACUUUUGAUGCGGUGCCUUCCGAGUUCCCUGGAACGGGACGCCAUAGAGGGUGAGAGCCCCGUCUGGUUGGAUGCCAAAUCUCUGUAAAGUUCCUUCAACGAGUCGAGUAGUUUGGGAAUGCUGCUCUAAAUGGGAGGUAUAUGUCUUCUAAAGCUAAAUACCGGCCAGAGACCGAUAGCGCACAAGUAGAGUGAUCGAAAGAUGAAAAGCACUUUGAAAAGAGAGUUAAAAAGUACGUGAAAUUGUUGAAAGGGAAGCGUUUAUGACCAGACUUGGGCUUGGUUAAUCAUCUGGGGUUCUCCCCAGUGCACUUUUCCAGUCCAGGCCAGCAUCAGUUUUCCCCGGGGGACAAAGGCGGCGGGAAUGUGGCUCUCUUCGGGGAGUGUUAUAGCCCGCCGUGUAAUGCCCUGGGGGGGACUGAGGUUCGCGCAUCUGCAAGGAUGCUGGCGUAAUGGUCAUCAACGACCCGUCUUGAAACACGGACC